CAGUCGCCGCGGUAACACGAAGGGUGCAAGCGUUACUCGGAAUUACUGGGCGUAAAGCGUGCGUAGGUGGUGGUUUAAGUCCGUUGUGAAAGCCCUGGGCUCAACCUGGGAAUUGCAGUGGAUACUGGGUCACUAGAGUGUGGUAGAGGAUAGUGGAAUUUCCGGUGUAGCAGUGAAAUGCGUAGAGAUCGGGAGGAACAUCAGUGGCGAAGGCGGCCAUCUGGGACAACACUGACGCUGAGGCACUAAAGCGUGGGGAGCAAACAGGAUUAGAUACCCCUGUAGUCCCUGUCUCUUAUAC
rnacentral:rRNA from 1 species